AGAGUUUGAUCAUGGCUCAGAUUGAACGCUGGCGGCAGGCCUAACACAUGCAAGUCGAACGGUAACAGGAAGCAGCUUGCUGCUUCGCUGACGAGUGGCGGACGGGUGAGUAAUGUCUGGGAAACUGCCUGAUGGAGGGGGAUAACUACUGGAAACGGUGGCUAAUACCGCAUAACGUCGCAAGACCAAAGAGGGGGACCUUCGGGCCUCUUGCCAUCAGAUGUGCCCAGAUGGGAUUAGCUUGUUGGUGAGGUAACGGCUCACCAAGGCGACGAUCCCUAGCUGGUCUGAGAGGAUGACCAGCCACACUGGAACUGAGACACGGUCCAGACUCCUACGGGAGGCAGCAGUGGGGAAUAUUGCACAAUGGGCGCAAGCCUGAUGCAGCCAUGCCGCGUGUAUGAAGAAGGCCUUCGGGUUGUAAAGUACUUUCAGCGGGGAGGAAGGUGUUGUGGUUAAUAACCACAGCAAUUGACGUUACCCGCAGAAGAAGCACCGGCUAACUCCGUGCCAGCAGCCGCGGUAAUACGGAGGGUGCAAGCGUUAAUCGGAAUUACUGGGCGUAAAGCGCACGCAGGCGGUCUGUCAAGUCGGAUGUGAAAUCCCCGGGCUCAACCUGGGAACUGCAUUCGAAACUGGCAGGCUUGAGUCUUGUAGAGGGGGGUAGAAUUCCAGGUGUAGCGGUGAAAUGCGUAGAGAUCUGGAGGAAUACCGGUGGCGAAGGCGGCCCCCUGGACAAAGACUGACGCUCAGGUGCGAAAGCGUGGGGAGCAAACAGGAUUAGAUACCCUGGUAGUCCACGCCGUAAACGAUGUCUACUUGGAGGUUGUGCCCUUGAGGCGUGGCUUCCGGAGCUAACGCGUUAAGUAGACCGCCUGGGGAGUACGGCCGCAAGGUUAAAACUCAAAUGAAUUGACGGGGGCCCGCACAAGCGGUGGAGCAUGUGGUUUAAUUCGAUGCAACGCGAAGAACCUUACCUGGUCUUGACAUCCACGGAAGUUUUCAGAGAUGGAAUGUGCCUUCGGGAACCGUGAGACAGGUGCUGCAUGGCUGUCGUCAGCUCGUGUUGUGAAAUGUUGGGUUAAGUCCCGCAACGAGCGCAACCCUUAUCCUUUGUUGCCAGCGGUCCGGCCGGGAACUCAAAGGAGACUGCCAGUGAUAAACUGGAGGAAGGUGGGGAUGACGUCAAGUCAUCAUGGCCCUUACGACCAGGGCUACACACGUGCUACAAUGGCGCAUACAAAGAGAAGCGACCUCGCGAGAGCAAGCGGACCUCAUAAAGUGCGUCGUAGUCCGGAUUGGAGUCUGCAACUCGACUCCAUGAAGUCGGAAUCGCUAGUAAUCGUGGAUCAGAAUGCCACGGUGAAUACGUUCCCGGGCCUUGUACACACCGCCCGUCACACCAUGGGAGUGGGUUGCAAAAGAAGUAGGUAGCUUAACCUUCGGGAGGGCGCUUACCACUUUGUGAUUCAUGACUGGGGUGAAGUCGUAACAAGGUAACCGUAGGGGAACCUGCGGUUG
rnacentral:rRNA from 2 species